GAGAAGCUGAGUGUGAGCACGUGGUGUGAGCUUGCAGGCCAGGAGGAGUCUGCUGGUGUCUGCAGGGGUGUGCAAGCAUCUGUAGAAGUCUGUCCAGGGAGCUGAAUUGCUUUACCCAAAAUCAAGUUGGAGAGAUGUGUGGAGCCUCAACCACAAACCCUGACUGUUGGGGGAUGCUUUGAUAGCAGAAUGCAGAGCUAUUGGAAACCCAGUUCCUCCUUGCAAGUGGUUCAGAAUGGGAUUCCCUUUGGAAAAUGGGGACAGAAACAUCUCUCUGAGAACAAAGAUGAUGGAGGGAAAACAGAGGUGACUUGAGAGCAGAGAAGUGAUAUUUUGGAGAAAAAAGAUGAACAGGUCUAUUGGGAAGAAAAUGAAAACUCUGGAGGAAAAAUCUGAGGCUUAUACAUUUGCCACUGGGAAAAGAAACCACUGACAGCAACUCCAGUGCUGCAGGAACAAGACAAUUGCUUCCUGCAGACUCGCCUUCACUUGUCAGUAGAGUCCAGCACAAUAAACCCUGCCAACACACAGCAACACGGCAAUCCAACCUACAAAAGACUUGCAGGCACUCCGAAGACUCUGGCUUGAAUCUUGCAGUCUAGGAAUCAAACCUCUGAGCUGUCGCUGGUGUAAUGAUAUGGUAGCAUCAUUGGUUCACUGCUGCCUGACUCCUUUGUUGCUUCCUUUUUCUCAGAAUUUUGUUUCCAUUUUAGCAGCAAAAUGAUGAUUGCAAUUAAGCAGAUGGCAAGGAAAAUGGCAGCAGUUCCACCAAGGAUUGUGAUUAUACUGACUCCUGCACUUUGGUUAUUCAGUUCUCUGGGGAGAAUGCCAUUGACCGUGACCUCCCUUUGAGGAACCUGUUUCUUGUUGGUGCGAUCUAGAGCUAUGUGCUGUAUGUUUGUUCCUCGGUUGUUUUCUGCUCCAAUAUCUUUCACAAGUUCUGGGUCCUGUGCAGUUCCCCUCUUAUGACGUCUCUGUGUGGAUGCUCCUGGGAUGUUACCACUGAAGACUGAGUGGUACUGGUGCUCCACACUUCUUUUGCCAAUCCCACGGUUAGCAUUCUCUUUGGAACGCACAGUGUAGAUUGUAUGGACAUACCACUCUCUGCCCAAAGAUACCUAGAAAGACAUUUUUUUAAAAUUUAAACACACAUGCACUGGCACUGUACAUAGAGGAAAUCAAUCACUGCUCUGAACUGAUUGCCUGGACAAGUACUUCCAAAGGCAUUUGCAGAGAAGUCCUCACUAUGCGCCAAUGUGCAUGAGAAGAGUCAUAUUUUCUGCUAAAAUUUUAAGGGUUGGUAGUCUCCAUUCCUCUCUGAGGCCAUACUCUAUGGCUGCCAGGUGCAGAUAAAAAAGCAUGGCUUUGGCAUUGUUUUAGUACUGUUAGUACAAAUGGCCACAUAAAGAACCUCAGCUCUAGGCAGGAUACACAAGAGAAUCCCUCAGGCCACUCUACCAGAUGACCAAGCCCUGACUGUGGAUUUAUUUGCAUCUUAGCAUAAGGAAACAGUUUUUCAAUGUGAGGACACUUGAAUAGUGGAAGCUGUGGAGUCUCUAUCUUUAGAGAUACUAAAAAGUCUAACUGGACAUGAUCCUGGUCAGCCUGGUCUAGGUGACCUUACCAUCAGCAGAAACAAUCUGUGGAGACUCCUGACAACCUCAUUCAUUUUGUAACUGCAUAAUUUCUUGAAGUCUGUCUGAGAUCAUAGAACGCUAAGGAUUGAAAGGAAUCUUUGAAGUUCAUCUAGUCCAUCUCCUCUGCGGUGAGCAGGGACAAUUUUAAACAGAGAGACUUGGAGCUCUGUCCAACUUGACUUUUAUAUGCUUAAGUAGGCUUUUCUCUUGAAUAGUCCACUGCUUACAAUGGGACGUUUAAUACCAAAGUGGCCAGGAAUAGUAUUGAAGUCUCUUUGAUAUAUUUACUGAUUCAUACAGCUGUUUUGCAUGCAGUUUUGCAAAUGUUAAAGAGAAAAACAAAGAGGAGACAACUCCUGGCAGGGUUAUAUAGAUAAAAGGGAGGAAACUACACUGAUGAAGAAUUAUGUUUAAGUAAGAAGUAGCUGUACCUUUAGUUGUCAAUUUCUAGAUUUUCCAGUGCUUAGAUGUUUCACAUCAUGCACGUUUUCAAGGAAAGAAUUGAACAUAAACCAGUGAGUAUCAACUAGAUUUUGAUAAAGUUCACUAUAAAUGCUUUGGAUUCUUUUUUGUUUGAUCUUAACAAGUGAGAUAGGAAGUAAAAACAAACCAAUGAUGUGCAACAAGAAGCUUACCCAAUUUUUAGAAUAUGUAAGAAUAACCUGGAUAAUUUCUGGAUAAACUGUGGAAUUAAAGAAGAGAAAGGCUUAGUAUCCCCACAGUAGUCUUUCAAUAAAUGCUGCAGGUUUUAUACCUAGAAAUGUUACAGCAUUUAUAAUUCUGUUUGUUACUAGAAUCAGAAUAAAAACUCCCAUUGGCGUCAGUUGGACUUACUGCUAACAACACUUGUGCAAAUGUUUUUUUCUUGGUUCAGUACUCUUGCCAGUCAGUUACAGAAACCAUACCUGAAACAGAGGAGUUGAGUCUACUUUAAAUCCAUCAGAGCCUGGCUGUUUAACUAAGGGAAUUGCUUCAGGAUCAUCUAUUGCGAGUUUUGCAUUAAAAAGCACAUUUCCAAAGCUUGUGGCUUGUGUCUCUGGCUGAGCUUUGUCCUACACAGUCAGGGAAAGAAAAAACAAUGUGUAAAACACAGAUUAAUAUCUUUUAGGAAAAACAGUUGUGAUAUUUAUACACAAUGUACAAACUGUGUAAUUUACACAUUCCAUUUUAUGCAAUCCACUGUAAUAGCAAGAGAAAAGAGAUAAGAAGUUGUUGUGGUCACAUCUGACUUGUACUAACACACCUAUUUAAUUUCUUGCCUGAAGAGAUUGUUGAAAUACAUGGAUGAAAUACUAAAAAACAACCAUAGAUACAUUUCUGAAAUAAUAAUAAUUUAAAAAGAUACAUAAAUAUGGUCUGAAAUAAAUAUUAAGAAAUCUUAAGAAGCUGGUUUUCAUUUCUAUUAGCAGACACUCAUAAUUUAGUUUAGACAUUAGAUAAUUACCUUACUUGAAGUUAACUCUCUAAAGGUUGGGCAUCAGGUCUGUAGCCAUCUAGGGUUACUCUAUAAGGUAAAUAAUCUCAGAUAUUCUAAGAUAGCUUUAGAGGAAUCUCUCUUUCCCUAUUGUCUGACCUAUAUGACUGACUUUAUACACUUAUAUUUUGGAUAACUAAACACAAAAUAAAAUCCAGUCCUUAACUUUCACAUCUCCUAAGACUCCCUUUAUGGUCAAUGGACAUACACAAUGCACAGAAAAAGCUAUCUUGUG